rnacentral:rRNA from 1 species
GACGAACGCUGGCGGCGCGCCUAAUACAUGCAAGUAGAACGCACAGUUUAUACCGUAGCUUGCUACACCAUAGACUGUGAGUUGCGAACGGGUGAGUAACGCGUAGGUAACCUGCCUGGUAGCGGGGGAUAACUAUUGGAAACGAUAGCUAAUACCGCAUAAUAUUAAUUAUUGCAUGAUAAUUAAUUGAAAGGUGCAAUUGCACCACUACCAGAUGGACCUGCGUUGUAUUAGCUAGUAGGUGAGGUAACGGCUCACCUAGGCGACGAUACAUAGCCGACCUGAGAGGGUGAUCGGCCACACUGGGACUGAGACACGGCCCAGACUCCUACGGGAGGCAGCAGUAGGGAAUCUUCGGCAAUGGACGAAAGUCUGACCGAGCAACGCCGCGUGAGUGAAGAAGGUUUUCGGAUCGUAAAGCUCUGUUGUAAGAGAAGAACGGGUGUGAGAGUGGAAAGUUCACACUGUGACGGUAUCUUACCAGAAAGGGACGGCUAACUACGUG